GGGAGCUUGGCUCAGUUGGAAGAGCGCAGGUCUCAUACUCAAUCCUGAGGUCGUGAGUUCGAGCCUCACAGUUCCCA